GACAGAGGGUGCAAGCGUUGUUCGGAAUUACUGGGCGUAAAGGGCUCGUAGGCGGCCAACUAAGUCAGACGUGAAAUCCCUCGGCUUAACCGGGGAACUGCGUCUGAUACUGGAUGGCUUGAGUUCGGGAGAGGGAUGCGGAAUUCCCGGUGUAGCGGUGAAAUGCGUAGAGAUCGGGAGGAACAUCAGUGGCGAAGGCGGCCAUCUGGGACAACACUGACGCUGAACGGCGAAAGCUAGGGGAGCAAACGGG
rnacentral:rRNA from 1 species